GCUUUGGGAAUAUCGCAUAUCCUCCUCCACUACCGAACUUGCAGCAAGCAAAUGAAACGUUUACUUAUCGUUUUUCUCCACAAGUCUUCUCCGCUUCCAUCUCAUCUUGGCUUCUUGCCCUCUUCUUCCGCCUCAUCAGCUCUAUUCGAUCGACAUGGCAUCCCCGUCGACGUGCGCGGAGGCGCAGCAUCCCCUGAGGCUCCGAGACGUCAUCGACCACGACGAAGACGACGACUUCAUCGCGGAUGAAGAGGAGGAGGAUGAGGAGGACUGGGACAUGAGCAAGCGCAUGUCCCGCCUGUCCAUGGAGGGCUCCGACGGCGGGGACGCUGAUGAUGAGGACGACGGGUACCGCCGCGGUGACGGCGACAAAGGGGAGGAGGAGGACGACGACGAGUUCGAGGUGAGGUCGGACGUCAACAGCGCCACGUACAGCGGCGCGCACCUCCCCUGGCCUCCUUACGACGGCCAGGCCCCGCCGUCGGCGUCGCUCCCGGGCACGCCGGACCGCGGGGCGCAAUCGGCGCAGUCGGCGUGGUGGACCGGGCCGUCGACCAAGGAGUACGCGAGCGAGACGGAGGCGCGCUGGCUGGGAGGCGGGAAGGGUCGGCACCGGCACCACCGGCGGGAGCGGAUGAUACGAGAGGUGUGGUUGGAGCGCGCGUGGCGGAUGCAGAAGCAGCGCCGGCAGCUGCAGGGCCAGGUCGGGGAGGUGCCGGUGGUGGUGCUUGGAAGCGGAGGAGAGUCUCCGGCGGCUCGGGGCGGCGUGGCGAUGGACAUGGAGGAGGUGCGCGCGUGCAGGGACCUGGGGCUGGACCUCCCCUGCGACUGGACGGUGGAGAUCCCGUGCUACGCUCUCUCCGGCGUCGACACCGCCAGCAGCGGCGGCAACUCGCCGGCCUCCGGUAGCUGUCCCAUCUCCAGCCCCGGUGGUUAGAGUUCCUGAUGGCGACGAGCUGAUCGAUUCUGCUUUCCUGGUUCCCCUGGCCCCCUGCCUUUCUGCUGCGAAGUGUUUGCUCGCCACGUUCGCUAGGGACGAUCCCAAGGACGUGAAGGCGCGGCUCAAGGUGUGGGCGCAGGCGGUGGCACUCGCAUCUGCAUCUCGUCUCGGUUCCUGAACAACUAUGCUAUGCACGCACGCAUGAUUUGAGUUUGAGUUCCAAGCAGACACCACGCAUAUCUGAAAGCCUGUUCUUCCUUCGGACAUUGCGUAGACAUCUCCAAGACAGAUAUAUACCCUCUUCUCCACCUAUAACAUGAUCUUCUCAUCUCAAAAAACAAAAACAGAGUCGUCUUUUGGGGGCGCAACAACGGUUGAUUCUGCCAACGCUUGUGUGUCCAUUGUACAUAUGCGUCCAGAAUUUGGGAAUCGGAUCCUCUGACUUCACCCGUGUGACUUCAAACUUCGGUGAACCGUUGGAUCAUGGAUGGAUGGAUCAGAUGUACUGCUACAGUUAAUGAAAACAGUAAAUAGUUACAGUAAAUUAACAGGACCGCUGCUACAGUUUAUCUCCUCACAAUUUACUGUUUAUCUCCUCACAAUUUACUGUUCACUCGUGACUUCGUCCCUCCGAAAUCAGGGGAUCCGGAUCCUCCA